UAGGGAAUCUUCGGCAAUGGACGAAAGUCUGACCGAGCAACGCCGCGUGAGUGAAGAAGGUUUUCGGAUCGUAAAACUCUGUUGGUAGAGAAGAACGUUGGUGAGAGUGGAAAGCUCAUCAAGUGACGGUAACUACCCAGAAAGGGACGGCUAACUACGUGCCAGCAGCCGCGGUAAUACGUAGGUCCCGAGCGUUGUCCGGAUUUAUUGGGCGUAAAGCGAGCGCAGGUGGUUUAUUAAGUCUGGUGUAAAAGGCAGUGGCUCAACCAUUGUAUGCAUUGGAAACUGGUAGACUUGAGUGCAGGAGAGGAGAGUGGAAUUCCAUGUGUAGCGGUGAAAUGCGUAGAUAUAUGGAGGAACACCGGUGGCGAAAAGC
rnacentral:rRNA from 1 species